UGAUGACGAGACGCUAAGGCGUUGAAGCAGUGUAUGUCAGACUUCCAAGAAAAGCUCGCAAUGUCACAAAUAAAGAAUGCCUGUACCAUAACCGACACAGGUGGGUAGGUAGAGUAUACCAAGGGGCGCGAGAUAACUCUCUCUAAGGAACUCGGCAAAAUGACUCCGUAACUUCGGGAGAAGGAGUGCCUUAUUUAUAAGGUUGCAAUAACAAGAUCCAAGCAACUGUUUAUCAAAAACACAGGUCUCCGCUAAGUCGUAAGACGAUGUAUGGGGGCUGACGCCUGCCCAGUGCCAGAAGGUUAAAGAAGUUGGUUAGUGUAUGCGAAGCUGAUGACUGAAGCCCUGGUGAACGGCGGCCGUAACUAUAACGGUCCUAAGGUAGCGAAAUUCCUUGUCGGGUAAGUUCCGACCCGCACGAAAGGCGUAAUGAUUUGGAUACUGUCUCGGAGAGAGGCUCGGUGAAAUAGACUUGUCUGUGAAGAUGCGGACUACCUGCACCAGGACAGAAAGACCCUAUGAAGCUUUACUGUAACUUGAAAUUGGAAUUGGACUUUGCUUGCGCAGUAUAGGUGGGAAGCGUUGAAAAUAUUCUUGCGGGAGUAUUGGAGCUAUCAGUGAGAUACCACUCUUGUAAUGUUAGAUUUCUAUCUUUGUACCAUAAUCUGGUCAAAGAACAGUUUCAGGUGGGCAGUUUGACUGGGGCGGUCGCCUCCCAAAUGGUAACGGAGGCGUACAAAGGUUUCCUCUGAACGGAUAGAAAUCGUAUCUAGAGUGUAAAGGCAUAAGGAAGCUUGACUGUGAGACCUACAAGUCGAGCAGGGACGAAAGUCGGUCUUAGUGAUCUGACGGUACUGAGUGGAAAGGCCGUCACUCAACGGAUAAAAGUUACUCUAAGGAUAACAGGCUGAUCUCCCCCAAGAGUUCACAUCGACGGGGAGGUUUGGCACCUCGAUGUCGGCUCAUCGCAUCCUGGGGCGGUAGUACGUCUCAAGGGUUGGGCUGUUCGCCCAUGAAAGCGGUACGCGAGCUGGGUUCAGAACGUCGUGAGACAGUUCGGUCCAUAUCCGGUGUAGGCGCUAGAAUAUUGAGAGGAGCCUUCUUUAGUACGAGAGGACCGAGAAGGACACACCGCUGGUGUACCAGUUAUCGUGCCAACGGUAAACGCUGGGUAGCUAUGUGUGGAGUGGAUAACCGCUGUAAGCAUCUAAGUGGGAAGCCCACCUCGAGAUGAG
rnacentral:rRNA from 1 species